CCAGCGUGGUGUGUGCCGGGCAGGCUGGCUCUGGGCAGCUCUUGUCCCUGCUCCUCGGCCUGGGUGCUCUCGUGGUGCUGAUCUUCGUGGCCCUGCUCUGCUGGAGGAUGCGGCGGGACAGAGCCGCUGGGAACCCCCUGGGCCAUGUGCACCUGAAGGAGCUGAGGGCUCCAGGGACCCCACCCCGGUCCCAGGGAGCGGCAAAUCCAGAGCCCUCCGAGGAGCCCGACAGCGAGAUGACCUGGCUGGUGAGGGAAGACGUGGUGCUGUGAGAGCCGCGUGCCAGCCGGGCUGGGCUGGGCUCAGCCUGCAGUGAGAGACGGGCCCGUGGGAUCCUGCUCAGAGCAGCCCCAGAGCUACCAGCUGCCUGGACUGUGGGGAUGCUGAUGGGGCUCGUCUGGGGGCUGGGGGUCUCCACUUCCACUGUGGGGCCCCGGCACCAUUGUCCCCCCAGCUGACUUGGAAGGCUCCCCUGCUCCACCCCACCCCCAGCUUUCCCUGCUGUAGCUCCCAGCAGCUCCCACGCCCAUCCCUGAGCAGCCUGUGCCCAGCCAUGCAGACAGCAGGUGGUGCACCCGGCAGAACCAUUGUCAGGUGCACAGAGACAGCCGGCUCCUUCCCCACCCAGCGACCAUCCCAACAUUUAAAUGAGCUAUGGGGAGAGACUGACUAUGGGUGUCUGCCUGUGCCCGAUGUGCCAGGCCCUGGUACAGCCUGGUGUUCUCAUAUGUAUGUGCCCAGUACAGCCUGAUCUCGAGGCACCAGGCCCCGUCUGUCUGUCUGUGCCCAAAGCACCGUGAACUCAGGCCACCAGGCCCCGUCUGUCUGUCUGUGCCCAAUGCACCCUGAGCUCAGGGCACCAGGCCCCGUCUGUCUGUCUGUGCCCAAUGCACCCUGAGCUUGGGGCACCAGGACCCGUCUGUCUGUCUGUGCCCAAUGCACCCUGAGCUUGGGGCACCAGGACCCGUCUCCUCUCUCUGUGCCCAAUG